UACCGUUUCGAUGAGUCAUAGGUAAUAGCGGUUUCUAUACCCUCAGUCAAGAAGUCCACACUUUAAGCAGUCCGCGGGGGGAGCCCGGUCGCAAGACUCCAACUCAAAGGAAUUGCCGGGGACCCGCACAAGCAGUGGAGUCUGUGGUAAAAUUUGCACCAACGCGAAGACCCUUACCAGGUCUUGACAUCCCUCUGACCGGUACAGAGAUGUACCUGUCCUUCGGGACACAGGAGACAGGUCGUGCAUGGUUGUCGUCAGCUAGAGUCGUGAGAUGUUGGGUUAAGUCCCGCAACGAGCGCAACCUUUGAUCUUAGUUGCCAGCAUUUCGGAUGGUCACUCUAAGGUGCCUGCCGGUGACAAACCGGAGGAAGGUGGGGAUGACGUCAAAUCAUCAUCCCCCUUAUGACCUGGGCUACACACGUACUACAAUGGCGGGUACACACGGGCUGUGAAGCCGCGAGGUGGAACGAAUCCUAAAAAGCCGGUCUCAGUUUGGAUUGCAGGCUGCAACUGGCAUGCAUGAAGUCGGAAUUGCUAGUAAUCGCGGAUCAGCAUGCCGCGGUGAAUACGUUCCCGGGUCUUGUACACACCUCCCGUCACACCACGAGAGUUUAUAACACCCCAAGUCGGUGGGGAAUCCGCCAAGA
rnacentral:rRNA from 1 species